rnacentral:rRNA from 1 species
AUGUGCCAACGAAAAUACACCUUGGAUCUCUUGAGUGACAUGGGCAUGAUGGGGUGUCGUGCUGCCCCUACUCCGAUUGAACAAAAUCAUCAAGUGAUAGCACAAUCAGGAGAGCUAGUGAAUAAGGAAGAUUAUCAGAAAUUGGUUGGGAGGUUAUUGUACUUGUGUCAUACCAGGCCUGACAUUACAUAUGCCGUCGGGGUGGUGAGCAGAUACAUGCAUGAACCAAGGAGUGGGCAUCUUGAUAUUGUGCAGAGAAUCCUGAGAUACUUGAAGGGGACUCCGGGUAAAGGGUUGUGGUUUGGGAAGAGUGGACAUCUUGAGGUGGAUGGCUAUAGUGACUCUGACUGGGCCAGUUGUCAAGAUGAUAGAAGAUCCACUUCUGGCUACUGCGUGUUUGUGGGAGGAAAUUUGGUGUCUUGGAGAAGCAAGAAACAGCCGGUUGUGUCUAGAUCAACAGCAGAAGCUGAGUAUAGAGCAUUAUCUCAAAGGUUGUGUGAGAUGCUCUGGGUGAAGUACCUACUGAGUGAGUUGAAACUUCUGAGGAAGGGACCCUUGAAGGUGUGGUGUGACAAUCAGUCAGCUAUAGCCAUUGCUAAUAACCCAGUUCAACAUGAUAGGACAAAGCAUGUGGAAAUUGAUCGCUUCUUCAUUAAGGAGAAACUUGAUGCUGGGAUCAUCAGCCUUACUCAUGUCAGCUCUGGGCAGCAGUUUGCAGAUUGCUUGACAAAGGGACUGGGAACAAAGGACUGUAACUUGGCGUGUGACAAGAUGGGAAUGAUAGAUAUCUACCACCCAUCUUGA